GACCAUUGUGUGUGUGUGUGUGUGUGUGUGUGUGUGUGUGUGUGUGUGUGUGUGUGUGUGUGUGUGUGUGUGUGUGUGUGUGUGUGUGUGUGUGUGUGUGUGUGUGUUAUUCAUUCAGGAGAGGUUGGGGGAUAUAAGGUGUUUGAGGAAAUGUACUUUUCCAGAACAAAAGGGCUUGAUAUGUGUACCCCCCCCCAUAUCUCUCACUGUCACUUUCUAGCGUUCCUAGAAACUUGUACUGUGUCUGUACUACCACCAGUGUGUCCGGCUUGUGUUGUCCACCUCCCCCUUAGUGGAAACUCAUUUCCUUGCCGCUCCUUUAGACGUCUUCCAAAACCAACCGUCACUGUGUUCUUAAAGGCCUACUUGUAGUUCUGCUGGGUUAUUUUGAUGCAGAACCUCACCUCGUGCUCUAGGUGGAACACUACUCUGUUUUGUCUACUUGAACUUUUGUAGCCCUGCUGCCUCCCAUUCAGGCAGCCACCUUCCACCACGCCACUCGCCCCCCCUUCCACCCUCAAGAGCAUCUUUUCCGAGGUGGGACUCAAAUGUCAAUCAUGUCACCUUGCGGGGUUGAAUUUUGUCUAAAUGUAUGUGUUUUUUCUCCUUUUCUUCUCAUUUUAUAUUUAAAAAAAACUCAGAAGCAAACAAAUCAAACCUCAUGGCGCGGUAAGACGCAGGCAGCAUCGGCUGGCUGGAGGCUGACGGACCAAGAGCAGAGAGCACUGGACUAGUCAGCCUCUGCCAGGCAACUGCCCAUAUGGCACUAACAAAUUACAAACAAACCUACUACGACAAUAAACAGCUAAGCAAUCAGAGAGAAUGAACUGAAGUGAAUUUCUGAGCUGUGUUUGGAACUUGAACGUAACACAGAGUAUUAAGUGGAGGGAAGAGGAGGGGGUGCGGCGCAUUGACAGGUGGGGAGGCAAGUACUCCAUGCAGAAAGAAGUCUGCCCUCUAGUGGCCGUACCACAGUAUCUCCCCCAUCCCAAUCCUGCUCUCAGGCACUGGGAAAGUAUUGUCAGAAUAGAAUGCUAAAUGAAAUUGUGUUGUAAAAAAACACUGUGUUAAGGGACUCACUCAGCUUAUCUCAUUUAUACCUUUGACCCUGUGUGGGUGUAUGAUUAUGAGUCCCAUGAGAAUGCACAUGGACUGUUUUUAUUGUAUUUAUUUGGAAAUCCGGUGAGGGGUGAAUAGAUGUGACUUGAGGAGAAGCCAUGUAUUAUUACCACAUUGAUGCUGCAGAGAAUACCGGAUUCAAAUCCACAAAAUGGUCGCCCAGCAUCGGCCCGGGAC
rnacentral:lncRNA from 1 species